GUCUGUCAUGUCCAGCCUGUGAAGAGCACGCUGGCUGAGCUGGCGAGAGGGGUGGGGGCGUCCUGGGGCUGCUUCUGCUCUGAUGAAGGCACCCACUGUCACUGUCCCGGCCCUCGCUGAGUGUUCCCGGACCCGUGGGCCCGCGUCUGUGCCAGGCCUUGGGGAGCUCCAGCCUCGGAGCCUCUUCCCGUUCUCAGACCUCAGUGCGAGGAGGAAAUCGGCUCCUUGAGUUUUUGCCUCCGGUGUUGUUUGGAAGGACGUGUCUGGAGCUGCUGCAGUAAAGCUGAAGAAGUGGCCGCGUGCAGUCCUAAGCUCCUGUGGCCUCUCGGUUGCCAGCAAGUCCUUUCCUUGGCUGUGGGCCAGUGACUGUUUGCGAGACCGCAGAACGGCGAGCUACAUGUGAUCAGCCGUUGGAGGAGCCUCUUCUCCCCGGCUCGCCAGCCCCACACGCCCACCCUGUCUCAGAGAGACUUAUUUUUCCUUCUUCAAUGUCGUCAGGCUUUGCCUCCUGACUUACCUUGGCCAAUGGAACGUAAGCAGAAGCAGAAGCGCCUCUUCAAGAGAGUGAAACGGUCCUGGAGGGAGCGGCUCCUCCAGCCUGGAUGCUCAACUGUGGCAAGCGCCCGGCUGACCUACAGGAAACGCGGAGCCCGAGUGGAAACACACGUGUGUUGUAAACUGCUGAGACGCCGAGAUUGCUGGGGCCACAGCCCGGCCUGGCAUCAGCUGACUCGAGGAGAAACUGGCACCUAGAAUUCGUUGCUGUCACACACAAAACCUAAAAUUUGUGGCAUUGGCUGGGGUGGGGCAGGGGAGGGGGAGAAACUAUAAUUAGAGGCUGGGAGCAGCAUUUUUAUGUGGUGAAACAUUUGGCAAAACUGUCAUCUAUGUUUUCUCGGGGGCGGAAAACAUAGGAGGCUUUGGGCUGGGCACGGUGACUCACACCUAUAAUCCCAGCACUUGAGGAGGCUGAGGCGGGUGGAUCACCUGAGGCCAGGAGUUCGAGACCAGCCUGGACAACAUUGUGAAACCUCGUCUCUACUAAAAAUACAAAAAUUAGCCAGGCAUGAUGACGGACGCCUGUAAUCCCAGCUACUUGGGAGGCUGAGGCAGGAGAAUCGCGUGAACCUGGGAGGCGGAGGUUGCAGUGAGCCAAGCUUGCACCACGGCACUCCAGCCUGGGCGACAGAGUGAGACUCCGUCUCAAAACAACAACAACCAUCACCACCAAACAGAAAACAGGAGAUUGUGGAUUCAAGCAAAGAGGUUUGGAAACCAAAUGUGACUGGUGUGUCUUGGUUGCUAUUGGAGAUACGGAUGAGAUAAUACAAGAAAGAUGUGCUCAGAUGGAAAUUGUCUGGUUUGCAAACAGCCUUGAAAGAGGCAACUGCUUCUUAGCUCCAACCAGUAAAGGAUAAAUGGGAGACAUGCUUGCUCCACAAAAGCCAGUUAGGCUCAGGCUGGUGGCAAAAGCCAGGUGGAGAGUGUAACCCCCGGGGGUUAUGAUCUCUGAAUAGAUUAAGGUGGCAGCCCAGCACAUUUCUUUCUCUUUCUUUCUUUUCUUUCUUCCUUUCUUUUCCUUUCCUUUCUUUUCCUUCCUUCCCUUCCCCUCCCCUCCCCUCCCCUCCCCUCCCCUUCCCUUCUCCUUCCUUCCUUCCUUCCUUCCUCCCUUCCUUCCUUCCUUCCUUCUUUCUUUCUUUCUUUCUUUGACCAGUUCUCACUCUGUUGCUCAGGCUGGAGUGCAGUGGCACGAACACAGCUCACUGCAGCUUCAAGCUUCUGGGCUCAAGCUAUCCUCCCACCUCAGUCUCCCCAGUAGCUGAGACUACAGGCGUAAUUUUAAAAUUAGCCCAGCUAAUUUUUAAAGUUUUGUAGCGAUGCUGUCUUGGCAUGUUGCCCACACUGGCCUCGAACUCCUGGGCUUAAGAGAUCUGCCUGCCUUUGCCUCCCAAAGUGCUGGGAUUACAGGCAUGGGUCACUGUACCCGACCCCAGCAAAUCUUUUGAGUCAGGUGAAAUUUUGUAAGAAGAGAAAUUGGGGGCAUUGCUCUCCCAAGGAAGCCCCAGAAGUUAAAAGUAGCUGCCGUAAAGUCAAGACAGUGAGACGUAUCUCCUCACCUGCCGUGAACUGCCCAAAACAGAUGUGAAGCCAGCCACGUGCUGAGGGAUCUGCACACCCAGCUUUGCCUUGCAGUGACUGCGAAGGUGCAAGAUUUAAAAAUCACGUCUGAGCCUCCAGCGUUCUGUGGACAGAAAGCAGGAGUGGUGCGGGCUCCCUGAGGACAUAAUUUCCAAUAUCCUCUUCAGAUGUAGCCCAGAGGGUGAUGGAAAAGGAAGAACCUCCCAGAGGCGAGCUCGGUGAUGGGCCAGUAAUGGAUUAGGGGCUCACACCACGGACUGGAGUCAGCAGUCUUAACCACGCGACUCGCCCAGAGUGAGCAGAUGUUAGCAGCAGUGGGCCGGGCUGUGUCCAGCACCAACCUGAAGAGCACCACGUGGUCCUGCCACAUUCUUUCUCCCUCGGCUGCGGGAGGGCCUGGAUCCCAGGAGAGAGAAGAUGCAUGGGGCAGACCCAUAGCCACCUGCCGCCUACACGGAACACCAGCCAGAAAAAAACCUUGUGUUGAAAGAGAGAUCAGAGGCAUUGCUCAGUGAUUCCAAUCCUGAAUCGCUGAGCUUCUGGGGAUGUUUGUCAUGGCAGCAGAAUCCAGCAUAGCUGACUAACACAGACCAUGCCACUACCUUCUCCUGGAGACCCUCACUGACUUCAGGCUGACAAGCACAGGGGCCUCCUGCCUCCCCUUGGGCCAGUCCUGGCCUUGCAGGCACCGUCUAUACCCUGACUCUGCUACCCUGCACAUUAUCUUAUCUGCCUCCUUUUCUAUCGAAAUAUUUUAAGCAAGGGGAGAAACGAGGGUGGAGCAGCAACCAGAGGAGACCCUUGCCCAGGGGAUGCCUGCCCGGGGUCUGUCCUGGGCAGGGAGCAGCACAGCCCUGGUGGCUUGGGUAAUGUGGCAGCCCCCUCCCCAGGAGUCCCUGCACUGGCCACUCCAGGCACCAGGAUUCUUUUUGCCUUAAUGAAUUCCCCUCAAGUCUCCGGUUAGAAGUUUCCUGCUCCAAUCUUGAAUAUGCAUCUUUUAAAAUACUCUGCAAAUUUGAGGGCCUCUCAUGUAUCAUUUCAAUCCUCCAGCUAUUAGAGAAAUUGGGGUAUCAUAUAGAUUACGGAAAAAUUACUUUGGGCAGAGAAGGAGGUAGAAGAUCAAACGCUUAUCUGUACAAAUAAAUUCAGUGCGAUCCACAAUUAAGCAGCAUUUGACAUUUAAAAAAUAUUUGAUCCAUGUUUUGGCUUCCAGAGCUGCUUAAGGGAGCUGCGAUGUGUAAAUUACAUUCAAAUCAGGGUUAAAUAUAGUUCCCAGAGAAAGAUUGUAUGAUUUAAAUUGCCUAAUUAUUUGGGGGAAAAAUCUGUUCUCCAAUAAUUAAGAGAAUGAGGAUGUUCGACUUAUUGGGGAGAGAGAUCAGAAGUGGCUAUUCCCUUCUGGGAGACCAGGAGAUGCUGGCUUGGGGAGGGGAUGGUCACCCCUCUGGGGUGGGGGCAGGCGAUAGAGACCCAGCAGGCAGGCCCCAGGCAGGGGGAAGAGGCUGCCCUUAUCUGGCCCCAGGCAGCCUGCUGGGGUCUGUGGCCAGGCAGGACACCCAGUGCUCAGGAACCAACCAGAAACCAACUAGAAACUGGCAGUCUGGGUGCUGAGCCAGGGGCCCGCAGCCGCGCCAGGCAGGGAGUGGGCGCCAGCUCUCUCUGG
rnacentral:lncRNA from 1 species